UACAGAGGGGGCAAGCGUUGUCCGGAAUUACUGGGCGUACAGCGCGCGCAGGCGGUUGCCGACGUGCCGUGUGACAAGCGGGGGCUCAACCCCCGAGGGCCACGGUAAACGGGGCGACUGGAGGGAGGGAGAGGGAUGUGGAAUGCCCGGUGGAGCGGUGAAAUGCGUAGAGAUCGGGAAGAACAUCGGUGGCGAAAGCGCUCUACUGGACCGCAAUUGACACUCAGGGACGAAAGCUAGGGGAGCGAAUGGG
rnacentral:rRNA from 1 species